rnacentral:rRNA from 1 species
CCUACGGGUGGCAGCAGUGAGGAAUAUUGGUCAAUGGGCGAGAGCCUGAACCAGCCAAGUCGCGUGAAGGAUGACGGCCCUACGGGUUGUAAACCUCUUUUGCCAGGGAGCAACUUGGUCCUUGCGUGGGCCCAGCGAGAGUACCCGAAGAAAAAGCAUCGGCUAACUCCGUGCCAGCAGCCGCGGUAAUACGGAGGAUGCGAGCGUUAUCCGGAUUUAUUGGGUUUAAAGGGUGCGUAGGCGGAAUAUCAAGUCAGCGGUAAAAAUUCGGGGCUCAACCCCGUCGUGCCGUUGAAACUGAUGGUCUUGAGUGGGCGAGAAGUAUGCGGAAUGCGUGGUGUAGCGGUGAAAUGCAUAGAUAUCACGCAGAACUCCGAUUGCGAAGGCAGCAUACCGGCGCCCAACUGACGCUGAAGCACGAAAGCGUGGGUAUCGAACAGGAUUAGAUACCCUUGUAGUC